rnacentral:tRNA from 1 species
GGGAAUGUGGCUCAGUGGUAGAGUGCUUGCCUAGCAUGCAUGAAGCCCUGGGUUCCAUUCCUU